AAGUGGGGACGCAGAAGGUAGAUAUAUGCGCACAGUUGGUGUUGCGUUUAAGCAGAAAGGAUAAGAGAUAGGCAAAUCCGUCUCUUAUGAAAUCUGAUCUGUGAUGAGGACCGAAAAACAAGUAGGGAGGUUAUACGAAUCAUACUGCCGAGAAAAGCCACUAUCGAAAUUAAUAGAACCCGUACCGCAAACCGACACAGGUAGGCGAGAAGAGAAUUCUAAGACGCGCGGAAGAACCUUUGUUAAGGAACUCGGCAAAAUGACCCCGUAACUUCGGGAGAAGGGGAGCCAUGAGAAAUCAUGGCCGCAGUGAAAAGGCCCAAGCGACUGUUUACCAAAAACACAAGUUUCUGCCAAGUCGAAAGACGAAGUAUAGGAGCUGACACCUGCCCGGUGCUGGAAGGUUAAGGGAAAAUGUUAGUGAAAGCGAAGCAUAGAACUGAAGCCCCAGUAAACGGCGGCCGUAACUAUAACGGUCCUAAGGUAGCGAAAUUCCUUGUCGGGUAAGUUCCGACCCGCACGAAAGGUGUAACGAUUUGGGCACUGUCUCAACAAAGGAUCCGGUGAAAUUGUAGUAUGUGUGAAGAUGCACAUUACCCACGGCAGGACGGAAAGACCCCAUGGAGCUUUACUGCAGGCUGACAUUGGAUUUUGGGUUUAAAUGUACAGGAUAGGUGGGAGACUAAGAAGCUAGUACGCCAGUAUUAGUGGAGUCGCCGUUGGGAUACCACUCUUUUAAAUCUAGAAUUCUAACCUAGCCCCUUGAAUCAGGGGAAGGGACACUGUCAGUCGGGCAGUUUGACUGGGGCGGUCGCCUCCUAAAGAGUAACGGAGGCGUUCAAAGGUUUCCUCAGCACGGACGGAAAUCGUGCGCAGAGUAUAAAGGCAAAAGGAAGCUUAACUGCGAGACAGACAAGUCGAGCAGAUACGAAAGUAGGACUUAGUGAUCCGGUGGCACCGAGUGGAAGGACCAUCGCUUAACGGAUAAAAGCUACCCUGGGGAUAACAGGCUUAUCCCCCCCAAGAGUCCACAUCGACGGGGAGGUUUGGCACCUUGAUGUCGGCUCGUCUCAUCCUGGGGCUGAAGUAGGUCCCAAGGGUUGGGCUGUUCGCCCAUUAAAGAGGCACGCGAGCUGGGUUCAGAACGUCGUGAGACAGUUCGGUCCCUAUCCGUCGUGGGCGUAGGAAAUUUGAGAGGAUCUGUCCUUAGUACGAGAGGACCGGGAUGGACAAACCAAUGGUGCAUCAGUUGUCGAGCCAUCGGCAUAGCUGAGUAGCUAAGUUUGGGAAGGAUAAGAGCUGAAGGCAUCUAAGCACGAAGCCAACCUCAAGAAUAGAUUUCCAAGAUUAGGAAGACCCCUUGAAGAAAAUGAGGUAGAUAGGACGCAAGUGUAAGUGUAGUAAUAUAUUAAGCUAAGCGUUACUAAUAGGUCGAAAAUUUGACC
rnacentral:rRNA from 1 species